rnacentral:lncRNA from 1 species
CAACAAACUAGCAUCAUAGCUAAUUUGGCUUUUACACAUAAACAUCGCUUUUCAAGAAAAUAUGUGAAUCGAGUUUUUCCAAAGAAAUGUGCUAUUCUUUUCUUUCGUCAUCUUUCGAUGUUCAAGAAACCCGUUAGACAGGAGAAACUAGACAGUUACUUUAGACAGGUUUCACAAUGUGAUUGAGAGCUGUUUGUGACUGUACUUGUUUUUUAAUACAGACACACUGCCGGCCUACCACUGCCUCUCAGGAUCAUCCCAAAACUUAAACCUGAACAAUGUGCAUGUCAGGACAGGCCAACCACAGCACAGAGACACCUGCAGAUGGUUCCUCCUAUUAUUCCCUCUCUGUGUGGCGACAGAUCUUCUAUAACACGACGCAUGUGUACAAAGCUGUUUGCUCAUGAAAAUCAACAGAGGCCAAAAGUUCAAAGAGAACAUUUUGAGGGGCCACGGUCUUAGCAUGAAAAACACAACAACCAAAGAUUCAAAAGACCUCAAAUUUUGGGCAGCCUGUGUUUGGUUUCUGAGCUCUUGCCUAAUUGCAUGCAGGGAUUGAGUCACUCUGGGCUGUUGCUCGGCCAGUCUCUGAGCUGUAAAACAAACCCAAAGUGGAGUUAACUGCGGUCAAGGUGUGUUAUUGUGUGUGUGUGUGCUGGAACAAGAGAACCAGAUGAUGAGGGAGAACUCUGCAUCAUCGCAUGACAUCAUCACUCACUGAUUCACUUCUCCAAUUUACAGGAAACGUUUUAUUUUUUUCUCACUUCGUAAACUGAGAACCAAGCCCUCACGGAGAUAAAAAUACCAAAACAGUGAUGCAGGAAACGACCCAACCAGCUGUUCUGCUCAAGAGCUCAUAUGGUAUGUUUCACAACACCAGCAAUCAUAGCAAAUGUCAACCUGACAAGUGCGCUUGAUAAAAAACUGCCAUGAGCACUGUGAGAUGUGUACUUCAAGAACUUGGACUGGAGUAGUGCAUGCUUGACAUUUUUUCUGUCACCUGUACAUUGUGUAUAAACCAGAUACCAGAGAUUCUUCGGCAUGUUUCAAAAACAAAUGUUUAUCUCUGUGAAAAUGAAAGAUAACAUGUUUGAUAGUCAAUGGCUGAAUGCAGUGUGAACUGAUUGUAGUGCAACGCCGCAGCCAAUUUUCAGCAUUGCGUCUGCUGGAGUGUCAAUCAUCACGUUGGUGGUUAUUGCUUCUGAUAAAACUGCCAUUUAUUGAGAGUUGAUUGGUGCUUGUUUGUUUUUGCUGAGCUUUGAAGAACAGUUCAAGAAAUCAAAUCUGUCAUCAUUUAUUAGCACUGGUGUCAUUCAAAAUCUGCAGGAUGUUCUGAAUUUUAUAAAGAGAUUUUUUAAACAUU